rnacentral:rRNA from 1 species
UACGGGGGGGGCAAGCGUUGUUCGGAAUUACUGGGCGUAAAGGGCUCGUAGGUGGCCAACUAAGUCAGACGUGAAAUCCCCAGGCUCAACUUGGGAACUGCGUCUGAUACUGGAUGGCUUGAAUUCGGGAGAGGGAUGCAGAAUUCCAGGUGUAGCGGUGAAAUGCGUAGAUAUCAUGAGGAAUACCAGAGGCGAAGGCGGCUACCUGGACAAUUGCUGACGCUCAGGCACGAAAGCGUGGGGAGCAAAAGGG